rnacentral:rRNA from 1 species
GUCUACGUCCAUGCUACCCUGAACAUGCUCGAUCUCAUCUGAGCUCGGAAGCUAAGCAGGGUCGGGCCUGGUUAGUACUUGGAUGGGAGACCACCUAGGAAGACCAGACGCUCGCUGUAGGCC